AGGCGCCUGGCAGUUAUUGGUCUCACCAUGGAGUGGAAAGUGUUUGCGCUCCAGGCCCGAAAGAAAAGGACCAUACCCAAGAAGGACAAAGCCCAAAGGAAAUCUGAAACUCAGCACCGAGGCUCUGCUCUCCACUCCAAGAGUGAUCUACCAGAUCAGGAAGAGGAGAUUCUGGGAUCUGAUGAUGAUAAGCAAGAAGAUCCUAAUGAUUAUUGUAAAGGAAGUUAUCAUCUUGUGAAAAUUGGAGAUCUAUUCAACGGGAGAUACCACGUGAUCCAAAAGUUAGGCUGGGGACACUUUUCAAUGAUAUGGUUAUCAUGGGAUAUUCACGGGAAGAAAUUUGUGGCAAUGAAAGUAGUUAAAAGUGCUGAACAUUACACUGAAACAGCACUAGAUAAAAUCCGGUUGCUGAAGUCAGCUCGCAAUCCAGAUCCUAAUAAUCCAAAUAGAGAAAUGGUUGUACAACUACUAGACGACUUUAAAAUAUCAAGAGUUAAUGGAACACAUAUCUGCAUGGUAUUUGAAGUUUUGGGGCAUCAUCUGCUCAAGUGGAUCACCAAGUCCAAUUAUCAGGGGCUUCCACUGCUUUGUGUCAAAAAAAUUAUUCAGCAAGUUGUUACAGAGUCUUGAUUAUUUACAUACCAAGUGCCGUAUCAUCCACACUGACAUUAAACCAGAGAACAUCUUAUUGUCAGUGAAUGAGCAGUACUUUCGGAGCCUGGCUGCAGAAGCAACCAAAUGGCAGCAGUCUGGAGCUCCUCCACCUUCUGGAUCUGCAGUCAGUACUGCUCCCCAACCUAAACCAGCUGACAAAAUGUCAAAGAAGAAGAAGAAGAAAUUGAAGAAGAGGCAGAAGCGCCAGGCAGAAUUACUAGAGAAGCGAAUGCAGGAAAUUGAGGAAAUGGAGAGAGUCGGACCUUGGGCAAAAAAGACCAAACAAGCAAGAAGAAUCAGAGAGUCCUGUUGAAAGACCCUUGAAAGAGAACCCACCUAAUAAAAUGACCCAAGAAAAACUUGAAGAGUCAAGUACGUUGGCCAGGAUCAAACACUUAUGGAACGUGAUACAGAGGGUGGUGCAGCAGAAAUAAAUUGCAAUGGAGUGAUUGAAGUCAUUAAUUAUACUCAGAACAGUAAUAAUGAAACAUUGAGGCAUAAAGAGGAUCUACAUAAUGCUAAUGACCGUGAUGUCCAAAAUUUGAAUCAGGAAUCUAGUUUCCUAAGCUCCCAAAAUGGAGACAGUAGCACAUCUCAAGAAACAGACUCCUAUAACAUCUGAGGUGUCAGACUCCAUGGUGUGCCAGUCUUCCUCAACUAUAGAUUAGUCAUUCAGUGAAGAGUACAUUAGCCAACUUCAAGAAAGCAUUCGGUCAGAGAUACCCUGUGAAGAUGAACAAGAGCAAGAACAUAAUGGACCACUGGACAACAAAGGAAAAUCCACGGCUGGAAAUUUUCUUGUUAAUUCCCUUGAGCCAAAAAAUGCAGAAAAGUUCAAGGUGAAGAUUGCUGAUCUUGGAAAUGCUUGUUGGGUGCACAAACAUUUCACUGAAGAUAUUCAAACGAGGCAAUAUCAUUCCUUGGAAGUUCUAAUAGGAUCUGGCUGUAAUACCCCUGCUGACAUUUGGAGCAUGACAUGCAUGGCCUUUGAACUGGCCACAGAUGCCUAUUUAUUUGAACCUCAUUCAGGGGAAGAGUACACUCAAGAUGAAGAUCACAUUGCAUUGAUCAUAGAACUUCUAGUGAAGGUGCCUUGCAAGCUCAUUGUGGCAGGAAAAUAUUCCAAGGAAUUUUUCACCAAAAAAGGUGACCUGAAACGUAUCAUGAAGCUGAAACCUUGGGGCCUUUUUGAGGUUCUAGUGGAGAAGUAUGAGUGGUCUCAGGAAGAGGCAGCUGGCUUCACAGAUUUGUUACUGCCCAUGUUGGAGUUGAUCCCUGAAAAGAGAGCCACUGCCACCGAGUGUCUCUGCCACCCUUGGCUUAACUCCUAAGCCCCUGGCCAGCACCACAGCAGAGAUCACACACUGACCCUCAGCCCUUCCCCUCCAAGCAUUUUCCUCUUCCCUUUUUAGGGUGAAGCUCUUUCUUCAAGAGUUUCUAGAUCUUUUUUUUUUUUUUUUUUUUUCGUAAUCCAACAUGUUCAUUUGGGUUUGCUUACUUGACACUGUGGAGAUCCCCACAGCCAUUGGGCAUCCUAGGUGAAUUUGGCCUUG